rnacentral:pre_miRNA from 1 species
ACUUUUGAAUGUGUCAUGUUGAUGGUCAUCUAACAAUCAUCUCAAAUAUAAUAUCUUAUAAAGAUUAAAACUCAUUGUUAGAUGACCAUCAACAAACACUUUCAGAGG